rnacentral:rRNA from 1 species
UGGGGAAUAUUGCACAAUGGGCGCAAGCUUGAUGCAGCCAUGCCGCGUGUGUUAAGAUGGCCUUUGGGUUGUAAAGCACUUUCAGCGGGGAGGAAGGCGAUAAGGUUAAUAACCUUGUCGAUUGACGUUACCCGCAGAAGAAGCACCGGCUAACUCCGUGACAGCAGCCGCGGUAAUACGGAGGGUGCAAGCGUUAAUCGGAAUUACUGGGCGUAAAGCGCACGCAGGCGGUCUGUCAAGUCGGAUGUGCAAUCCCCGGGCUCAACCUGGGAACUGCAUUCGACACUGGCAGGCUAGAGUCUUGUAGAGGGGGGUAGAAAUCCAGGUGUAGCGGUGAAAUGCGUAGAGAUCUGGAGGAAUACCGGUGGCGUAGGCCGCCCCCUUGACAAAGACUGACGCUCAGGUGCGAAAGCGUGGGGAUCAAACAGG